GUUAUGAAUCUCCUGGUAGCAAUAUUCCUUUCCUUUGGAGAAUCCUUCCAAAUCUUGUGUGAUCCUGGUGGGAAGGUAUGUCAUAGGAGCCCAACCUCAUCUCUGCCAAGGGUAAGAUGGCACUUUGCAGAUGUCACUGGCUGGACGGCAGCCCAAGCAAGGGGCAGUGACCCCUGGAGGAUCCCUCUGUUCCUAAAGGAGCUCUUCCAUAGGUACAAUGGGACAGGAAUGAAGGAUCCUGCAGGACAUUUGACAUUUUGCUUGACGUUUGGACUUGCACUGUCAGUGGGAUUUUAGUUUGUAAACUCAACUUUAUACACUGUUGGAUUAAGCAGGCAUUUAAAACCACCAUGACCUUUGGGUACUCCCAAGUUUUUUAUGGCUUCUACUCCUGCCAUGCUAUUGAAAUUCUUCCUCCCAAAAUGAGGGACCACCUCCACCUUUUGAAUACACUCUUCUGCCUGCCUGUAUGACCACCCCUCCAACCCCUUAACUCUCCUGGUACCCCUCCUACUUCUUCAGCCACUCCUCAGGCUUCUUUGCUGACUUGUCUUCCUCAACCCCAUCUUUAAAUGUUGAAGUUUUGAUGGUUCAAUCAGGAGGCCUAAUUUCUUCCCUUGAAUAUUCUUUCCCUAGGGCUGUUCAUCUAUACCCAUCAAUACCCAUGGUUUUAAAUACUUCCCAACCAAGACUUCCCCUCUAAGCUCAUAUACAUAAUAUAUUCAAUCUACUUAACAAACUGCCUCUGCCAUUUCCCCAGAUGCACUGAUGUUUGAAGACGCUGAUGGAAAUAAUCACAAAAGCAUCUUAGAGCGUGACGAUCCUUAAGAAUAUAAGACUUUCCUAACAGGCACCUCAAAGUCAAUAUCCCCCAAACGAAACUCUUGAUCCAACCCAAUCCCUACCCCAGAACAUUCCCUCCCCUUGUUUUCUUCCAUCUUAUUGAGUGGUACCAUCUUCCAUCCAGUUGCAAAAUCUAAAAGGCCCUGCCAUGCCGGGUUCCUCCCUCCCUCUUUUC